GGUUGUGGCUCAGAGGUAGAGCGCUUGCCUGGCAUGCAUGAGACUCUGGGUUCGAUCCUCAGCACCA
rnacentral:tRNA from 1 species